rnacentral:rRNA from 1 species
CUAGCUACAGGCUUAACACAUGCAAGUCGAGGGGCAGCAUGGUCUUAGCUUGCUAAGGCCGAUGGCGACCGGCGCACGGGUGAGUAACACGUAUCCAACCUGCCGUCUACUCUUGGACAGCCUUCUGAAAGGAAGAUUAAUACAAGAUGGCAUCAUGAGUCCGCAUGUUCACAUGAUUAAAGGUAUUCCGGUAGACGAUGGGGAUGCGUUCCAUUAGAUAGUAGGCGGGGUAACGGCCCACCUAGUCUUCGAUGGAUAGGGGUUCUGAGAGGAAGGUCCCCCACAUUGGAACUGAGACACGGUCCAAACUCCUACGGGAGGCAGCAGUGAGGAAUAUUGGUCAAUGGGCGAGAGCCUGAACCAGCCAAGUAGCGUGAAGGAUGACUGCCCUAUGGGUUGUAAACUUCUUUUAUAAAGGAAUAAAGUCGGGUAUGGAUACCCGUUUGCAUGUACUUUAUGAAUAAGGAUCGGCUAACUCCGUGCCAGCAGCCGCGGUAAUACGGAGGAUCCGAGCGUUAUCCGGAUUUAUUGGGUUUAAAGGGAGCGUAGAUGGAUGUUUAAGUCAGUUGUGAAAGUUUGCGUUUCAACCGUAAAAUUGCAGUUGAUACUGGAUAUCUUGAGUGCAGUUGAGGCAGGCGGAAUUCGUGGUGUAGCGGUGAAAUGCUUAGAUAUCACGAAGAACUCCGAUUGCGAAGGCAGCCUGCUAAGCUGCAACUGACAUUGAGGCUCGAAAGUGUGGGUAUCAAACAGGAUUAGAUACCCUGGUAGUCCACACGGUAAACGAUGAAUACUCGCUGCUUGCGAUAUACUGCAAGCGGCCAAGCGAAAGCGUUAAGUAUUCCACCUGGGGAGUACGCCGGCAACGGUGAAACUCAAAGGAAUUGACGGGGGCCCGCACAAGCGGAGGAACAUGUGGUUUAAUUCGAUGAUACGCGAGGAACCUUACCCGGGCUUAAAUUGCAGAUGAAUUACGGUGAAAGCCGUAAGCCGCAAGGCAUCUGUGAAGGUGCUGCAUGGUUGUCGUCAGCUCGUGCCGUGAGGUGUCGGCUUAAGUGCCAUAACGAGCGCAACCCUUGUUGUCAGUUACUAACAGGUUCCGCUGAGGACUCUGACAAGACUGCCAUCGUAAGAUGUGAGGAAGGUGGGGAUGACGUCAAAUCAGCACGGCCCUUACGUCCGGGGCUACACACGUGUUACAAUGGGGGGUACAGAGGGCCGCUACCACGCGAGUGGAUGCCAAUCCCCAAAACCUCUCUCAGUUCGGACUGGAGUCUGCAACCCGACUCCACGAAGCUGGAUUCGCUAGUAAUCGCGCAUCAGCCACGGCGCGGUGAAUACGUUCCCGGGCCUUGUACACACCGCCCGUCAAGCCAUGGGAGCCGGGGGUACCUGAAGUGCGUAACCGCGAGGAGCGCCCUAGGGUAAAACUGGA